ensembl:lncRNA
CAAAUCGGGUGCCACACCGGUUCCAAGAUGUUUACAGGAGCUGCCGACAAUAAAUAUCACAGAUGUGCAUCUUUUAUGUCGGGAAACAAAAACUCAGACAAGCAAAUUGGAGAAGGGGUUUAGGCUGUAUGCUUCAACCUACAUUCACAGCUUCGAAGAGUAGUGUUCCUGUCCGGGCCGUAUCUUUGGGAGGCGCGGUUUGGUGGUUUGCCGUGUACUUGCAUGUAGAUAAGUAGGGUGUUACCUGCUCAAUUCAUACAUUUUUACAAUUGUUUAUUAAUAGUAUUUUGUUCUAGAACCAGCAUUGGUGGAGUUGGAGACGUCACAUUCUGGCGCUGGCGCUUCAGUGCUCCUAUUUUCAUCUCAUAGAAUAAUAACAUGACUUUUUUCAACCAUUUAAAAAUAAACUUUGUAGACUUGAACUGGAAACACGUCUCUGCAAGUCUUUACACAAAUCUGUAUUAUAAAUGUUGUUUGUUUUUGUACUAUUGGUGCGGUCACAUUCAUAUAUAUAAAUUCUGAUAAGACAUGGACAUCCCCAACUCCAAUUACGCCAUCUCUCAACAUGCCACUACUUGUGUGCUAUUAAUCAUUCGCAUAGACCUAUUAAGAAAUAAUUUGGUACAGUACUAUAAAUUAAUCUGUAACGUCAAGCUAUUUUCUAACCAACAAUGUCCCUGACUGACACAUAUCCCCUUCACGUAGGGACUAGGCUAAUAACAGACUAAUACAAAAAAUGUGACUGAAAAAGUGACUUCCCUUGUGUAAAUUCGGAUGUCUGCGUCGGAGCCAGCAAACCGCUGCAGUCCAAACUCUCGCUGGAGACGUAACUCCUGUAGCUCCUUUCUCAGCUCCUGUACUUCAUUUGAGACGCUUUCAACAGCGGAUGCGGACAUAUCCAUGGCAGUCGUUUCAGGGACAGAGCAGUAGUUUUGAUCGUUGAAAAGGAGAUCAACUUCAUCUUCCGGAGGGGCAGUUUCGACGAACCGAUCCACUCUCUCCCACACGCCGCGCCUUGGGGUUUCGACUGUAUACUGGUUCCACUCAAAAAGGGUCGCUACGGCACCUUUUGUAAGUCUCCUUCGACCCUGAAGAGUAAUUGGCUCAAUCAUCUGGUCAGAACUAAAGUUUCUGCUACAGACCUUAGAGUGAGUGGUGAUGACAUAUUUAUCCCGGCUUAUGUUUAAGCCAUUGACUCCUCACGUCAGUUUGGCUUGGAAAGCCAUGGAAACUAAAUACCCCUUUGGAUUUGGCUGAUGCUGUACAGUGAGGGACACAGCAGUGAUCGUAGGUUUCUCCUGCCUAUAAAAACGAACCGUUUUUAAAUGUUUGCGGCCUUGAUUCAUGUCUAAAGUAUAUCAACGUCAGCUGGCUGGCGCGAUAAACACA